rnacentral:rRNA from 1 species
CCUACGGGUGGCAGCAGUGAGGAAUAUUGGUCAAUGGGCGAGAGCCUGAACCAGCCAAGUCGCGUGAGGGAGUACUGCCCUAUGGGUUGUAAACCUCUUUUGUCGGGGAGCAAAAGCCGGACGUGUCCGGCUGUGAGAGUACCCGAAGAAAAAGCAUCGGCUAACUCCGUGCCAGCAGCCGCGGUAAUACGGAGGAUCCGAGCGUUAUCCGGAUUCAUUGGGUUUAAAGGGUGCGUAGGUUGUUUUAUAAGUUAGCGGUGAAAUACCGAUGCUCAACAUCGGGGCUGCCGCUGAUACUGUAGGACUAGAGAUCGGAUGCAGCAGGCGGAAUGUGUAGUGUAGCGGUGAAAUGCAUAGAUAUUACACAGAACACCGAUUGCGAAGGCAGCUUGCUAGGCCGGAUCUGACACUGAUGCACGAAAGCGUGGGGAUCGAACAGGAUUAGAUACCCGAGUAGUC